rnacentral:rRNA from 1 species
UACAGAGGUCUCAAGCGUUGUUCGGAUUCAUUGGGCGUAAAGGGUGCGUAGGUGGCGCGCUAAGUCAGGUGUGAAAUUUCGGAGCUUAACUCCGAAACUGCAUUUGAUACUGGCGUGCUUGAGGACUGGAGAGGAGACUGGAAUUUACGGUGUAGCAGUGAAAUGCGUAGAGAUCGUAAGGAAGACCAAUGGCGAAGGCAGCUCGCUGGGACGGUACUGACGCUGAGGCGCGAAAGCGUGGGGAGCAAACAGG